CCCCUCCCAGGGUCGCAUCUGGGGAGUUACUCUACCAGUCUCGGCUAUGGGAGGGAGAGUCAAGCAGAGGAAUACCCAAUCCAUUCCUAGCUUGGGCAGUGGCUAGUGAGUGGAAGGCCAUCUGCUACAAGU